rnacentral:misc_RNA from 1 species
UUAAGGUGAAUCAUCUCUUUCUACGAGGUUGUAGUGCCUUUUAGCAUUGGGAAGUACCAUGAUGAGAUAGUUUGUGAUGUGGUGCCUAUGGUAGCUACCCAUUUAUUGUUGGGCCGUCCAUGGCAAUUUGAUAGAAGUGUGGUUCAUGAUGGGACAAAGAACAAGUAUACGGUUUUGAAAGAUGGCCGAACCUACACCUUGCUUCCUAUGUCACCAUCUCAAGUGCAUGAAGACCAAGUGAGGAUCUAAAAAUCAGUUAAGGAAAAGAAAGAUUGGAGAGAAAAUUUGAGAGAGGCCAAGCUUGAUGAGAGGAGAGUGAGAGCAAAAGAAUUAUAAAAAAAGAAAAGAGUGAGGGCUUGGGGCAAAAGGAGAUUAGAUAGAAUAAAAUAAGUUUGUAUGUGAGAGGAAAAGAAGUGAGGGAAGCCUUACAAGAGGGGAGACCUCUUUGUGUGCUUAUGUACCGGGAGGUGAAUUUAUGUUUAUCUGAUAUUGACCAAAAAUUGCCUAGUGGUGUUGUUUCUUUAUUGCAGGAAUUUGAGGAUGUGUUUCCAGAUGAUCUUCCUUCGGGUUUGCCACCAAUUCAGGGGAUAGAACACCAAAUUGACCUCAUUCCAGGUGCUCCAAUUCCAAAUAGACUAGCAUAUAGGAGUAAUCCUGAGGAGACAAAAGAACUACAAAGGCAAGUGGAGGAACUUUUAGCAAAGGGCUAUAUGCAUGAAAGUGUGAGUCCAUGUGCGGUUCCAGUGCUCCUUGUACCAAAGAAGGAUGAGACAUUUAGAAUGUGUGUAGAUUGUCGUGCUAUCAAAAAAAUCAUGGGCCGAAUUUGAGGAUGAAUUCUUUUCAAGAAGGAGAGAAUGAUGAGGAGACGCCAACAUUGGAGCCACUUCCAUUGUUCAAGAGUCCAAUUACAAGAGCAAGGGCAAAGGAGUUGCAAAACUUGGUGAGUAGACUUUGGAGGAGCCAAGAGGAUCAGAUUAGGCUUGGGCUUAGGCCUUUCAAGGACAAAUGGAUCAGCUUCAUACAAUUGGACCUUGGAGCCUAGCCUCUAGAAUAUUCUAUUUUUGUUUCUUUAUGCCAUGUGGCAGAUUAGUUAUUUGUAAUUCAUAUAAAUACUUAUCUUCUACAUCAAAUGGGAUAGCUAAUAUUAAACAUUGAGAGAGCAUUGAUUUUCAGCCAUCACUGUCAAUUGUGAGA